rnacentral:tRNA from 1 species
GCUGGCAUAGCUCAGUAGGUAGAGCGCGUCCUUGGUAAGGACGAGGUCACCGGUUCAAUCCCGGUUGUCAGCU